rnacentral:misc_RNA from 1 species
GCAGAGUGAUAGACUCUCUAAACCAUUGUGAACUACCUACCCGUUGCUUCGGGGCGGCCAGCGCCCCCCGGCCCCGCGGGCUGCCCGCCGGAGGAUACCCAAACUCUUGAUUAUUAGUGGCUUCUCUGAGUAUCUUAUGCAAUAAGUCA